AUUGAACGCUGGCGGCAAGCCUAACACAUGCAAGUCGAACGAGUGGCGGACGGGUGAGUAAUGUCUGGGAAACUGCCUGAUGGAGGGGGAUAACUACUGGAAACGGUAGCUAAUACCGCAUACCAUCGGAUGUGCCCAGAUGGGAUUAGCUUGUGGGUGGGGUAAAGGCUAAACAAGGCGACGAUCCCUAGCUGGUCUGAGAGGAUGACCAGCCACACUGGAACUGAGACACGGUCCAGACUCCUACGGGAGGCAGCAGUGGGGAAGAUUGCACAAUGGGCGCAAGCCUGAUGCAGCAAUGCCGCGUGUAUGAAGAAGGCCUUCGGGUUGUAAAGUACUUUCAGCGGGGAGGCGUUACCCGCAGAAGAAGCACCGGCUAACUCCGUGCCAGCCGCCGCGGUAAUUC
rnacentral:rRNA from 1 species